rnacentral:rRNA from 1 species
GUGGGGAAUAUUGGACAAUGGGCGAAAGCCUGAUCCAGCCAUGCCGCGUGUGUGAAGAAGGUCUUCGGAUUGUAAAGCACUUUAAGUUGGGAGGAAGGGCAGUAAGUUAAUACCUUGCUGUUUUGACGUUACCGACAGAAUAAGCACCGGCUAACUUCGUGCCAGCAGCCGCGGUAAUACGAAGGGUGCAAGCGUUAAUCGGAAUUACUGGGCGUAAAGCGCGCGUAGGUGGUUUUGUAAGUUGGAGGUGAAAUCCCCGGGCUCAACCUGGGAACUGCCUCCAAAACUGCAUGACUAGAGUACGGGAGAGGGUAGUGGAAUUUCCUGUGUAGCGGUGAAAUGCGUAGAUAUAGGAAGGAACACCAGUGGCGAAGGCGACUACCUGGACUGAUACUGACACUGAGGUGCGAAAGCGUGGGGAGCAAACAGGAUUAGAAACCCGUGUAGUCC